rnacentral:tRNA from 1 species
GCAGGGGUGGCGGAAUUGGCAGACGCGCUGGAUUUAGGUUCCAGUGGGGUAACCCGUGCGGGUUCAAGUCCCGCCCCCUGCACCA